rnacentral:rRNA from 1 species
GUCUCCGGCCACACCACCCUAAACGUCCCCGAUCUCGUCUGAUCUUGGAAGCUAAGCAGGGCUGGGCCUGGUUAGUGCUUGGAUGGGAGAAA